CUUUUCGGGUAUGCAGUGAAUAACGUUUUGUCAAGGGCUGCUUUAGCUGCAGCAUCGGCUUUUGAAUUACCUGCUAUGCCUAAAUGACGUAGUAAUUAGGUAAAGA